GGGGUAGUGGCGUAAUGGUAACGCGUCUGGCUUCGAACCAGAAGAUUGCAGGUUCGAGUCCUGUCUGCCUCA
rnacentral:tRNA from 1 species